rnacentral:misc_RNA from 1 species
AACGCACAUUGCGCCCGCCAGUAUUCUGGCGGGCAUGCCUGUCCGAGCGUCAUUUCAACCAUCAAGCCCCGCUUGCGUUGGGGACCUGCGGCUGCCCGCAGGCCCUGAAAACCAGUGGCGGGCUCGCUAGCAACACCGAGCGCAGUAGCAUACACCUCGCUCAGGUCGUGCGGCGGGCUCCGGCCGUGAAACCCCCAUCUCACACACACAAGGUUGACCUCGGAUCAGGUAGGAAUACCCGCUGAACUUAA